GACGAACGCUGGCGGCGUGCUUAACACAUGCAAGUCGAACGGAAAGGCCCUUCGGGGUACUCGAGUGGCGAACGGGUGAGUAACACGUGGGUGAUCUGCCCUGCACUUUGGGAUAAGCCUGGGAAACUGGGUCUAAUACCGAAUAGGACCACGCGCUUCAUGGUGUGUGGUGGAAAGCUUUUGCGGUGUGGGAUGGGCCCGCGGCCUAUCAGCUUGUUGGUGGGGUAAUGGCCUACCAAGGCGACGACGGGUAGCCGGCCUGAGAGGGUGACCGGCCACACUGGGACUGAGAUACGGCCCAGACUCCUACGGGAGGCAGCAGUGGGGAAUAUUGCACAAUGGGCGCAAGCCUGAUGCAGCGACGCCGCGUGAGGGAUGACGGCCUUCGGGUUGUAAACCUCUUUCAAUAGGGACGAAGCGCAAGUGACGGUACCUAUAGAAGAAGCACCGGGCAACUACGUG
rnacentral:rRNA from 1 species